rnacentral:rRNA from 1 species
AGGAAUAUUGGUCAAUGGACGCAAGUCUGAACCAGCCAUGCCGCGUGCAGGAUGACUGCCCUAUGGGUUGUAAACUGCUUUUAUACGGGAAGAAACCCCUCUACGUGUAGAGGGCUGACGGUACCGUAAGAAUAAGGAUCGGCUACCUCCGUGCCAGCAGCCGCGGUAAUACGGAGGAUCCAAGCGUUAUCCGGAUUUAUUGGGUUUAAAGGGUGCGUAGGCGGAUUAUUAAGUCAGUGGUGAAAGCCUGCAGCUUAACUGCAGAAUUGCCAUUGAUACUGGUAAUCUUGAGCACAUUUGAGGCGGGCGGAAUGUGUCAUGUAGCGGUGAAAUGCUUAGAUAUGACACAGAACACCGAUUGCGAAGGCAGCUCGCUAAACUGUAACUGACGCUGAGGCACGAAAGCGUGGGUAGCAAA